AUUGAACGCUGGCGGCAUGCCUUACACAUGCAAGUCGAACGGUAACAGGUCUUCGGAUGCUGACGAGUGGCGAACGGGUGAGUAAUACAUCGGAACGUGCCUAGUAGUGGGGGAUAACUACUCGAAAGAGUGGCUAAUACCGCAUGAGAUCUACGGAUGAAAGCAGGGGAUCGCAAGACCUUGUGCUACUAGAGCGGCCGAUGGCAGAUUAGGUAGUUGGUGGGAUAAAAGCGUACCAAGCCGACGAUCUGUAGCUGGUCUGAGAGGACGAUCAGCCGCACUGGGACUGAGACACGGCCCAGACGCCUACGGGAGGCAGCAGUGGGGAAUGUUGGACAAUGGGCGAAAGCCUGAUCCAGCAAUGCCGCGUGCAGGAUGAAGGCCUUCGGGUUGUAAACUGCUUUUGUACGGAACGAAAAGCCCCGGGUUAAUACCCUGGGGUCAUGACGGUACCGUAAGAAUAAGCACCGGCUAACUACGUGCCAGCCGCCGCGGUAA
rnacentral:rRNA from 1 species